AGUGGCGUGCGGGAAAUGUGGCGUGAGGAAGCCGUGGCCGACCGGGGACGUGGAGCCGACGUCCUUGUGAAGGAGGCUCUCAUCCCAUAGAGGGUGUUAGGCCCCCGCAGGCGCCCGUCGCCGGUGGCCUUAAGGCUUCUAAGAGUCGGGUUGUUUUGGAAUGCAGCCCAAAGACGGGUGGUAAACUCCAUCCAAGGCUAAAUACAAGGCACGAGACCGAUAGAUAACAAGUACCAUGAGGGAAAGUUGAAAAGAACUUUGAAGAGAGAGUUCAAUAGGACGUGAAGCUGCCGAGAAGUAAACGGAAAGGCCCCGCACACCGUGGCCGGGAGAUUCAGCGCAAGUGGAGGUUUUGCGGCGCCCCGCUCCGUCUGCGGAUUCCCCUCGGGAACCCUGGCAGAGUGGGUCGAUGCAGCCGCCCGUCGCGCGCAUUUCUCCCGUGCCUCUGGGGUUGGUGACCGAUCGUUGAUCGGCCGAUUGGACGCGGUGAAGGCAGGUAGCUCACCCAGGCUUCGGCCCGGGAGAGAACGUAUAGUCUCRCCGUCCGCAUCGGUCGCAAGGUCGAGGAAAGAUGCCCACGUGCUGCGCCUGCUCGGGUCUUCGGACCGGGGCUGGAGCCGCCGGACUCCCGCUCGUGCGGCGUACGGGGACUGUCCUCAGUGCCCGCUCGCUCGUGCGGUCGAGAAAGGCCGGAUCGCCUCUCAGGCGCACGGGGU
rnacentral:rRNA from 1 species